rnacentral:rRNA from 1 species
CGUGAAACCGUCCAGGGGUAAACCUGCGAAACUCGAAUGAACGAACGGAGAGAUUCAUCGUCAUUCCCCGGCGCACGCGCGUUGGCUCGAUGUCCCCGGCCUCGGUCGGCGGGCACGUGUCGCGCGCGUAGCGCUCCGGGGACGGCGUGCACUUCUCUCUUAGUAAUACAUCGCGACCCGUUCGGUGUCGGUCUAAGUGCCCUCCGGGAGUCUUCGCUUCGCGGUUAAUACCCGCGUCGUGUAGACCGAGAGGUGUCUCACCGACCGGCCGCCGGACGGUAUAUCAUACGAAACGCGCACGCGCUUCGCGCGCGUCCGGCCCGACGCAAGGCAACGUCGUAUCUCCCCCCUCCUGCCCGAGUGCGGAAGGGGGUGCGGCGCGCCUGUCGUCGCAGCCGUGCUGUCUCGGACUGUGCGCGUGUCCGUCUGCGA